rnacentral:rRNA from 1 species
UACGUAGGGGGCAAGCGUUAUCCGGAAUUACUGGGCGUAAAGGGCGCGUAGGCGGGAUGGCAAGUCGGUCGUGAAAUCCCUCGGCUCAACUGAGGAUCGUCGAUCGAUACUGCCGUUCUUGAGGAUUGCAGAGGAGACUGGAAUUCCCGGUGUGGCGGUGAAAUGUGUAGAGAUCGGGAGGAACACCGGUGGCGAAGGCGGGUCUCUGGGCAAUUCCUGACGCUGAGGCGCGAAAGCGUGGGGAGCAAACGGG